UGGGGAAUUUUGGACAAUGGGCGAAAGCCUGAUCCAGCAAUGCCGCGUGUGUGAAGAAGGCCUUCGGGUUGUAAAGCACUUUUGUCCGGAAAGAAAUCCUUGGCUCUAAUACAGUCGGGGGAUGACGGUACCGGAAGAAUAAGCACCGGCUAACUACGUGCCAGCAGCCGCGGUAAUACGUAGGGUGCAAGCGUUAAUCGGAAUUACUGGGCGUAAAGCGUGCGCAGGCGGUUUGCUAAGACCGAUGUGAAAUCCCCGGGCUCAACCUGGGAACUGCAUUGGUGACUGGCAGGCUAGAGUAUGGCAGAGGGGGGUAGAAUUCCACGUGUAGCAGUGAAAUGCGUAGAGAUGUGGAGGAAUACCGAUGGCGAAGGCAGCCCCCUGGGCCAAUACUGACGCUCAUGCACGAAAGCGUGGGGAGCAAACAGGAUUAGAUACCCUGGUAGUCCACGCCCUAAAACGAUGUCAACUAGUUGUUGGGGAUUCAUUUCCUUAGUAACGUAACUAACGCGUGAAGUUGACCGCCUGGGGAGUACGGUCGCAAGAUUAAAACUUAAAUGAAUUGACGGGGUCAUAGCUGUUUCCU
rnacentral:rRNA from 1 species